rnacentral:rRNA from 2 species
UAGGGAAUCUUCGGCAAUGGACGAAAGUCUGACCGAGCAACGCCGCGUGAGUGAAGAAGGUUUUCGGAUCGUAAAACUCUGUUGUUAGAGAAGAACAAGGACGUUAGUAACUGAACGUCCCCUGACGGUAUCUAACCAGAAAGCCACGGCUAACUACGUGCCAGCAGCCGCGGUAAUACGUAGGUGGCAAGCGUUGUCCGGAUUUAUUGGGCGUAAAGCGAGCGCAGGCGGUUUCUUAAGUCUGAUGUGAAAGCCCCCGGCUCAACCGGGGAGGGUCAUUGGAAACUGGGAGACUUGAGUGCAGAAGAGGAGAGUGGAAUUCCAUGUGUAGCGGUGAAAUGCGUAGAUAUAUGGAGGAACACCAGUGGCGAAGGCGGCUCUCUGGGCUGUAACUGACGCUGAGGCUCGAAAGCGUGGGGAGCAAACAGG